AGCUCCAAUAGCGUAUAUUAAAGUUGCUGCAGUUAAAAAGCUCGUAGUUGGAUUUGUGGCGCGGCCGUCCGGCGGGGGUCCUUCUAUGGUCUCGUUUGUCCUGGUUUUCGGCCGCUCCUUUCUCGGGUAGAGCGUAAUGGCUGGCAUUAGGUUGUCGGCCGCUUCGCGCCCGUCGUUUACUGUGAAAAAAUUAGAGUGUUCAAAGCAGGCUUAGGCCGUUGGAUACAUUAGCAUGGAAUAAUGAGAUAGGGCCACGGCGGUCUAUUUUGUUGGUUUGCACGUUGUGGUAAUGAUUAACAGGAACGGUUGGGGGUAUUCGUAUUCAAUUGUCAGAGGUGAAAUUCUUGGAUUUAUGAAAGACGAACAGCUGCGAAAGCGUUUGCCAAGGAUGUUUUCACUG
rnacentral:rRNA from 1 species